UGGGGAAUAUUGCACAAUGGGGGAAACCCUGAUGCAGCGACGCCGCGUGAGCGAAGAAGGUUUUCGAAUCGUAAAGCUCUGUCCUAUGAGAAGAUAAUGACGGUAUCAUAGGAGGAAGCCCCGGCUAAAUACGUGCCAGCAGCCGCGGUAAUACGUAGGGGGCUAGCGUUGUCCGGAAUCACUGGGCGUAAAGGGUUCGCAGGCGGAAAUGCAAGUCAGGUGUAAAAGGCAGUAGCUUAACUACUGUAAGCAUUUGAAACUGCAUAUCUUGAGAAGAGUAGAGGUAAGUGGAAUUUUUAGUGUAGCGGUGAAAUGCGUAGAUAUUAAAAAGAAUACCGGUGGCGAAGGCGACUUACUGGGCUCAUUCUGACGCUGAGGAACGAAAGCGUGGGUAGCAAACAGG
rnacentral:rRNA from 1 species